rnacentral:rRNA from 1 species
UACGGGGGGUGCAAGCGUUGCUCGGAAUCACUGGGCGUAAAGCGUCCGCAGGCGGCUUGAUAAGUCGGGUGUGAAAGCCCGGGGCUCAACCCCGGAACUGCAUUCGAAACUGUCUGGCUUGAGUACGGGAGAGGGUCGCGGAAUUCCUGGUGUAGAGGUGAAAUUCGUAGAUAUCAGGAGGAACACCGGUGGCGAAAGCGGCGACCUGGCCCGAUACUGACGCUCAUGGACGAAAGCGUGGGGAGCAAACAGG